UUUAUUUGUAAUUUUGUCUUUAAGUGAAGGUAUGUUUUGUUCUAACUAUUUGUAUUGUAUUUUAUUAUCACAUAAUUAUUAUCCAAUUUAAGUGCAUCAAGAAUCAAAGAAAAGAACUCUGAACAAAUUUAAUUAUUUUAAAGUUUAAUUAAUUAUAUUUUCGUCAAGGCAGUGUGCUAUUCAGUUUUCGGAACUAUUCUUUAAAUUGUGCAUUUGUAACUAUGUUUGGCUAACUGUGUUAUGCCAUCUAUGGUCACUUCCUUCUUCUUGGUGACCAUCAUGUGAAAAACUGUAUUAAUUUCUGCUCUUUAUUUAUCCACCGCAUCCAUGCGGUAGUUUCAAGUUUGGGUAGCCGCCUAUUGGCGGCCCACGAGUCAUGGAUCUGGAGUGCUUCCCUAUGCCGGCCAUGCUAUGAACUACUUGUAACCCUUUGUUUGGAGUAGAGGAUGUUCUCCUCUCUUUUCUGACGGCUACGGGAUUCACUCACUCAUGAAUUCAGGAAAGUGAUUCUUCGUUUUCAUACUUCGCAUGAAGCAUGUGUUCGGCAAUAAAUGUGGACAACCUACCUAAAUUCAUUUUAUAAAUUUUUCAUCGUUUGAUUUUUUAUUUUGUUUUGCUAACAUAAAUUUAUGAAUUAAAGUAACGUUAAUAUUUAUUUAAUAUUCUGGGGCCCCAUAUUUUUUCUUUUUUUAAUUUAAGUAACAAAUGUAACAAGUAACAAAUGUAACAAGUGAUAUUCUAUUUAUUGUUUAUGAAGAUUUAUAAAUAACUAAGUAAUACUGUAAUACUCAUAAAGUUUUUUUUAUAUCAAAUAUAACUGAUGGUCUGAAAA